GCUGGGGUACUUUUCUUACAAGCCUGCAUAGGCUCCCCUGCUCUUGAGCCCCAGGGCACCGUGUAUAAAAAAAAGCCAGAAUCCCAGGGCAAAUGUAGGAAGAGGGUCCUACAAACAAACCCAGGGCGUGAUCUCGUACACCUAGCCCCACCUCUGGCUGGGGACGCGCUCUCAGAGACAAGCUCGGGGUGGCUGAUAGGGAGAGGGCCAGAAAGGCUGGCAGAGGAGGAGGGUAUUAACUGGACCUUUAAGACCAAGCCAAGUAAUCAGAGAGGAGGAGGAGGCGUGCUAGAAAGAGGCUGUGAGCCCAAGCAACAAGGCAGGCACAGCAGCCUGGAGGAGUGGGGAACAGACGUGAGGUCACAGUGGGGUCUGUGGCAUGUAAGCAUCUGCAAUCUCCUGUGAUCCUUAGACCAUCCGGGAAACACUGCUUCCUGUUUUUAGGUAAAUCAAGAGAGGCCUAAAAAGGGAGUGGAAGAGCCAUUUCAAGAAGAAAAUGAACUUGGAGGGCUAAUAUAGAGUCGGGGGUUACGGUCCCCAUCCUUUGCGAUGCACAGGCUGGGGCUCAGGUGGGUCAGUUUGUACAACUUUGGUUUCUUCGAGGACAUGGCUGAGUCCACCCACAGCAGGACCUGCUGUCCUGGCUGCUGAGAAACACGAAGCACUUGAGAUUCAGCUUUUCGCAUCCCUCCACUGGCUGAGUGCUUUCCCGAGGCCACCCCCAAAUCCAUCACUCCCUUCCAUGUGGGACGCUGCCAUCACAAGACAACAGAGGGGAUGUUGACAGUGAGGGGAUGUCUGCAGGAUGUGGAAAAGUCCUGUUCCUCCCCAUCCCAUCCACUGAUGGCUGGAUUCCUGGAUCUGUAGAUCAAGGCUCUCCCUCCCUCCUGAGCUUCCCAUGGCUCCCCAUCAUCUGUCCUCCUCCUCAUGCUGGCAUUGAAGGCUCUCAUCAUCUGGGCUCAGCUGACCGUUCUGCAUCAGAAGCAAUUGAAGUCAUACAUGUUCCAAGUAUACAAGAGCCCCCAAGCUGCACGUGCCACCAGCCCCACAAACCCUGGGUGCCCUCUUAUCCCCGCACCACAGGAGUGUGAAUAUGGAGGAUUCUUAUGCCGUGGGUGCAGAACACCCAGCCCGACUCUCUCCUGCUACUUGGUGGAAUCUGCUUGUUACAGAAAUAAGAUCGUUGCACAUGCCAUUAAUUGAGAGGAGGUCAUAUGGAGUUGGGUGAGUCUGCUGUGUCUGGUGUCCUUAUAAGAAGACUCCAAGACAGACACCCCAGAGGGGAAGACAGCCAUGUGACAGCAGAGGCAGAGACUGAGGUCUUGCAGCCACAAGCUCGGGAACAGUAAAGACCACCUGCACACAGAAGCUAGAAGAAGGGGAUACAACCCCUGCUUCUCCAGACCCCUCACAGAAAGUAUGGCCCUGUGACACCGUGAUCUUGGACUUCCAACCUUCAAAAUAAAGGGAGAAUGAAUUUCUGUUUGGGCAGUGGUACUUAGUAACAGCAGCCCCAGGACAGUGACAUGCUGCUAUAGGAAGCUACUGCCUAGAUGGCAUUCGCUGAGACCUUGACUCCCCAGCUCUUGGAGAAGUGGCAUCAGCACAGAUAACAAGACAGACAGAACAAAGUAACCAUGACAGGCAGAACUAGGACAGGGGGUUUGGGAAGUGUCAGGGGGCUAGACAAGCUGUUGAGUCCCGCAGCUCAAAGUGCCAGAUGCAAACGGUGGCCAGCCAGCGCAACUGACUACCUCAGAAGAGCCAGGCCCUAAAACUAGCCCCUGUCUCCUGUGAGCUUGGUGAGGCCUGGAGCCCUCCCUCCGGAUUAGUGGAUCAGGCUCCGAAGGCCUCGGGGUCAAGCCCCAAGAGAUGGAGCUAUCCUUCCCACGUGGGGAUGGAGCCAUCCCCACAGCCACAGGAGCUGCCUUUGUCCUCCAAGUUUGACUCAUCUAAGGGAUGAUAGCGCAGUGACCCCAGCACCUGAAGCCCAGGUAGAAUGCUCACCGCGGCUUAUUCUGAAUGCAGGUGCCCAGCGAGCCUUUGGAUGGAGCAGCAGGGCCAUCGAGUCAGCACCAGACGCAGGCUCCGUGUGGCUGACCUUUCCACUCAUAGCCCUCGCCACCGCCGAGAUUCACAUAAUUGCAGUCUGUGAACAAAGGAAGUGCCAGCUACAUGAGACAGGAAGGGACUUCAGCAAGUGACGCCCAGGGUGCUGGGGCAGGGCAGGGGUUCUCACCCUGGCCAGCAGGGCUGGCCCUCAGCCCGGUUGUCUUCACGAUGAACAUGAAAGCCACCAACUCAAUUAUCUCAAA